AAGCAUCAUCGUGGCUCCCGGGAACUCUAUGACAAGUGUCUUCUGCAUUGUGGCCAAUGUCGUUAUUAACAUCCUCAGCAGUGGACCACUGAAAAUUGUGGGCUCUGUGACGAGUGAGCUGGAGAACGCCAUCGGAAUGCAAUGUUAAAGUGAUCCAACCAUGCGGAUGGCUGAUCAAGUGGAAGGUUUCUUGGUAAACAAGUCGUAGUUCCGACCCGUCGGUAAUGUCCCAAGCCGCUAAAUAAAAAGGAUAGAAUAGUUGGCCUGAGAUUACCU